GAGUUUGAUCCUGGCUCAGGAUGAACGCUGGCGGCGUGCCUAAUACAUGCAAGUCGAGCGAACGGACGAGAAGCUUGCUUCUCUGAUGUUAGCGGCGGACGGGUGAGUAACACGUGGGUAACCUACCUAUAAGACUGGGAUAACUCCGGGAAACCGGGGCUAAUACCGGAUAACACAUGAAACCGCAUGGUUUCAUGAUGAAAGACGGUCUUGCUGUCACUUAUAGAUGGAUCCGCGCUGCAUUAGCUAGUUGGUAAGGUAACGGCUUACCAAGGCAACGAUGCAUAGCCGACCUGAGAGGGUGAUCGGCCACACUGGAGCUGAGACACGGUCCAGACUCCUACGGGAGGCAGCAGUAGGGAAUCUUCCGCAAUGGGCGAAAGCCUGACGGAGCAACGCCGCGUGAGUGAUGAAGGUCUUCGGAUCGUAAAACUCUGUUAUUAGGGAAGAACAUAUGUGUAAGUAACUGUGCACAUCUUGACGGUACCUAAUCAGAAAGCCACGGCU
rnacentral:rRNA from 1 species